CUGUGCAGACAGGGACACAGGGAAGUCAAGACUGGAAUCCCCCAUGGCUCCCACAGAUAAACAGCAAGAAAGGAUCAACAAACAGGCGCAGACCAGUGUUUCCCCACCGUCUUCCCUAUCAGUUCUAUUCUGAGAAUCAGCAACAGCAGCCACCAUUACUUACCCAGUGUGUACUAUGGGCCAGUAGAAGGCUUUCACGUGCAUCGACUCCAUUAAUUUCUACUAUAAGAUCAAUGCUUCUCAAAGUUUAAUGUGAACAGAACCACUGGAGAGUUGUCAAAACGCAGUCUGACUCUGGAGGUCUUGGAUGGGGCCUGAGCGUCUGCAUUUUAAAAGGCUCCCAGGUGUUUCCACCUUCACGGCUGCGCUCCCUGACCCACUCCACGUUCCUCGGAUUUUCUUUAAGUCGAGUCAUCUGAAACCAGGCUGCUGCGCUAACAAUAGUUUGGCCUCUGAAAUAAAGGAUGCUGCAAUUUGAGGAGAGCAUUAUCACAACCCAGCGUGUUGGAUUCAAAAUGGGGGAGCUGCUGAGAUGGGAAAAAAGAGAAAGCAGGGAAGAGA